AAUGAACGCUGGCGGCAGGCCUAAUACAUGCAAGUCGAACGAGUGGCGGACGGGUGAGUAAUGUCUGGGAAACUGCCUGAUGGAGGGGGAUAACUACUGGAAACGGUAGCCAAUACCGCAUACCAUCAGAUGUGCCAAGAUGGCAUUAGCUAGUUGGUGGGGUAGCGGCUCACCUAGGCGACGAUCCGUAGCUGGUCUGAGAGGAUGACCAGCCACACUGGAACUGAGACCCGGUCCAGCCUCCUCCGGGAGGCAGCAGUGGGGAAUAUUGCACAAUGGGGGCAGGCCUAAUGCAGCCAUGCCGCGUGUAUGAAGAAGGCCUUCGGGUUGUAAGGUCCUUUCAGCGGGGAGGCGUUACCCGCAGAAGAAGCACCGGCUAACUCCGUGCCAGCAGCCGCGGUAAUUC
rnacentral:rRNA from 1 species